GACGUAGGGCGCGAGCGUUGUCCGGAUUUAUUGGGCGUAAAGAGCUCGUAGGCGGCUUGUUGCGUCGACUGUGAAAACCCGCGGCUUAACUGCGGGCUUGCAGUUGAUACGGGCAGGCUAGAGUUCGGUAGGGGAGACUGGAAUUCCUGGUGUAGCGGUGAAAUGCGCAGAUAUCAGGAAGAACACCCGUGGCGAAAGCGGCUCUCUGGAACGGUACUGACGCUGAGACGCGAAAGCGUGGGGAGCGAACAGG
rnacentral:rRNA from 1 species